AUUGAACGCUGGCGGCAGGCCUAACACAUGCAAGUAGAGCGGAGCGGCGGACGGGUGAGUAAUGCCUAGGAAUCUGCCUGGUAGUGGGCGAUAACGUCCGGAAACGGGCGCUAAUACCGCAUACUAUCAGAUGAGCCUAGGUCGGAUUAGCUCGUUGGUGGGGUAAAGGCUUACCAAGGCGACGAGCCGUAACUGGUCUGAGAGGGUGAGCAGUCACACUGGAACUGAUACACGGUCCAGACUCCUACGGGAGGCAGCAGUGGGGAAUAUGGGACAAUGGGCGAGAGCCGGAUCCAGCCAUGCCGCGUGUGUGAAGAAGGUCUUCGGAUUUGAAAGCACUUUAAGUUGGGAGGCGUUACCAACAGAAUAAGCACCGGCUAACUUCGUGCCAGCAGCCGCGGUAAUUC
rnacentral:rRNA from 1 species